AGAGUUUGAUCCUGGCUCAGAACGAACGCUGGCGGCGCGUCUUAAGCAUGCAAGUCGAACGGCAAGGCAGGUGCUUGCACCUGCCCUAGAGUGGCGGACUGGUGAGUAACACGUGGGUGACAUGCCUUUUAGUUGGGGAUAGCUACUAGAAAUAGUAGAUAAUACCGAAUGUGAUCAAUAUUUAUAGAUGAUGUUGAGGAAAGGAGCUAAGGCUUCGCUAAAAGAUUGGCCCGCGGCCCAUUAGCUAGUUGGUAGGGUAAAGGCUUACCAAGGCGAUGAUGGGUAUCCGGCCUGAGAGGGUGAUCGGACACAUUGGGACUGAGAUACGGCCCAGACUCCUACGGGAGGCAGCAGCUAAGAAUAUUCCACAAUGGACGAAAGUCUGAUGGAGCGACGCCGCGUGGAUGAUGAAGGCCGAAAGGUUGUAAAAUCCUUUUACACUGGAGGAAUAAGCAGAGUAGGGAAUGACUCUGUGUUGACUGUACAGUUUGAAUAAGCAACGGCUAAUUACGUGCCAGCAGCCGCGGUAACACGUAAGUUGCGAGCGUUGUUCGGAAUUAUUGGGCGUAAAGGGCAUGUAGGCGGAUUUGCAAGCUUGAUGUGAAAUCCCGCAGCUUAACUGCGGAACUGCAUUGAGAACUGCAAGACUAGAGUUACUGAGGGGAAACUAGAAUUCCAAGUGUAGGGGUGAAAUCUGUAGAUAUUUGGAAGAAUACCAAUGGCGAAGGCAAGUUUCUGGCAGAUAACUGACGCUGAGGUGCGAAGGUGCGGGGAGCAAACAGGAUUAGAUACCCUGGUAGUCCGCACAGUAAACGAUGUACACUAGGUGUUUGACCAUGAGGUUGAGUGCCAUAGCUAACGCAAUAAGUGUACCGCCUGGGAAGUAUGCCCGCAAGGGUGAAACUCAAAGGAAUUGACGGGGGCCCGCACAAGCGGAGGAACAUGUGGUUUAAUUCGAUGAUACGCGAGGAACCUUACCCGGGCUCGAACGGUGCAUGAAUAUACGAGAGAUUGUAUAGUCCUUCGGGACAUGUAUCGAGGUGCUGCAUGGUUGUCGUCAGCUCGUGCCGUGAGGUGUCGGCUUAAGUGCCAUAACGAGCGCAACCCUUGUCAUUAGUUGCCAUCAGGUCAAGCUGGGGACUUUAAUGAGACUGCCACCGUAAGGUGUGAGGAAGGGGGGGAUGACGUCAAAUCAGCACGGCCCUUAUGUCCGGGGCGACACACGUGUUACAAUGGGAGGUACAGAGGGCAGCUAUCCGGUGACGGAAUGCUAAUCUCCAAAACCUUUCUCAGUUCGGAUUGGAGUCUGCAACUCGACUCCAUGAAGGUGGAUUCGCUAGUAAUCGCGCAUCGGCCAUGGCGCGGUGAAUACGUUCCCGGGCCUUGUACUCACCGCCC
rnacentral:rRNA from 1 species